UGGGGAAUAUUGCACAAUGGGCGCAAGCCUGAUGCAGCAACGCCGCGUGAGUGAUGAAGGUCUUCGGAUUGUAAAGCUCUGUCUUUGGGGACGAUAAUGACGGUACCCAAGGAGGAAGCCACGGCUAACUACGUGCCAGCAGCCGCGGUAAUACGUAGGUGGCAAGCGUUGUCCGGAUUUACUGGGCGUAAAGGGUGCGUAGGUGGAUAUUUAAGUCAGAUGUGAAAUCCCUGGGCUCAACCCAGGACCUGCAUUUGAAACUGGAUGUCUAGAGUGCGGGAGAGGUAAGUGGAAUUCCUAGUGUAGCGGUGAAAUGCGUAGAGAUUAGGAAGAACACCAGUGGCGAAGGCGACUUACUGGACCGUAACUGACACUGAGGCACGAAAGCGUGGGUAGCAAACAGG
rnacentral:rRNA from 1 species